ACCACGAUAAGCUAUGGCCAGAACACAGCGUCAUGAGGCAGAGCCAAUGGGAAUUAAACAUGCCCUGAAAUCCCAUUAUCUAGUCACUCACUCUCUACCCCCCUUCAAGCCCUCAGUCGCACCAAAGGUAGGAGCCGAGGAUAGAAGAAGACAUUGGUCUCAGCCACGUCCAUGGAGGUAACCAGCUGUCGGACAUAGGCACGGUCAUCAGUAGUGACUUCAGCUCCAGGCUGUAGGACAUCACUCUUCAACACACAGUUCAGCCUUUUUAUAUCCAGUGAAAGGACACCUGAGACUUCCUCUCCAGCCCCUGCCUCCCACCUGCUGUCUGCUACCUGCAGG